rnacentral:misc_RNA from 1 species
GUGGAAGGGGGCUUGCUCCCGAUGGCGCUGGGUCAGGCAGGGAUUGGCUGGCUGACACACUGCUAUCGGGAGCAAGCCCCCUCCCAC